UACGUAGGGUGCGAGCGUUGUUCGGAAUUACUGGGCGUAAAGCGCACGUAGGCGGAUUGUUAAGUUAGGGGUGAAAUCCCAGGGCUCAACCCUGGAACUGCCUUUAAUACUGGCAAUCUCGAGUCCGAGAGAGGUGAGUGGAAUUCCGAGUGUAGAGGUGAAAUUCGUAGAUAUUCGGAGGAACACCAGUGGCGAAGGCGGCUCACUGGCUCGGUACUGACGCUGAGGUGCGAAAGCGUGGGGAGCAAACAGG
rnacentral:rRNA from 1 species